rnacentral:lncRNA from 10 species
GGAGUUUCCAUGCACACACCCUCUUGCCUGCCACCAUGAAAGGCAUGUCUUGCUUUCCCUUUCCUUCCACCGUGAUUGUGAGCCCUCCCCAGCCAUGUGGAACUUGCAUGACAGCACUCCAGGUUGCUGUUUCUGACCACUGCACAGCACCACCCACUGUGAUCCUUCCUGUUACUUCUCCAGCCCCUGGUGAAGAGCUGCCUCCAACUUCCUGCGCUCACCUGCAAUACUACAGAAAGCAAGCAGAGCGCCUUAUAGAUGCACCAGAGAGUCUACGUCUACAAAGAACAAGGAGCUGAGAACCUACCAUAAAAAACUUCCAUCAAAAGGAAUAUGUAUCUUGCUUCUUGGAAAGGGAAGUUUACUUUUCUGGGGCAGGGCUUAAGGAAGUGUCCCAGCAAGACACUUGCUGAUGACUGAGCUCCGGUCAACACUGCUAGGAAGUGUCUUGGGAGUGGUGGGAAAGAACAUCAGCUCGGGGUGGGGAGCGCUGAGGGAGUUGCCUAAGAGAGGACAUAGAAGGGGCAGAGUCAGCACUACAAAUACAAGAAGUUUACUUUUGGUGCAAAUGACAGUUCCUAUUUAUUGAAAGCCUGAUGUGGAACAUGUUGAGAUUAGAGCAGGUUUCUAAAGGAUACCCAUCACCACCUUCUUGUAGUCCCCACCCUGUUCCAAACCAUUUAAAAUAAGAGAGGAGUCUGGCAGGUGGAGAACAAAAUGGGAGAGACAGCAUUGGAGAGCUCAGGUGAGGUUUAAGGCAACAACAGGCUUCUGCUGACCAGAAUCAGCCUGACUUGCACCUGGUACUGGGCAGUAGUGGAAAAAUGCUGACCUUCCCAUGUAGUGUGCCUCCCCAGAAACACAUAACGUAUGGAGGAGCCGGGCAGAAUGUGUGCUUCUGGUGGCAGCUGAAUUCCAAAGGAAACGUAGAUAGGAGGCAGGUGUACCUAUGCCCAUUUCCUACUCCCAAAUUUGCCAAGGAGGUAAUUCCUCCUUGCGGAAUCCUGAGCACAGGACCAGAAAGGAGCCAGGAGUGUUACAUGCAUCGAUGUCCCUCCACAUGGAAACACACAGCAAGGGGAAAGGAGGUUCCACAUAAGAGGUACUGUCCUAGGAGUGUUAAGUGUUUUAUCUCUAAAAUACUUCAGAACAACCUGUAAAGAGGAUAUUCAGAUCUCCAUUUUAAGAUGUAGAAACUAACGAGAUCCUGUAAUUUGCAACAACAUGGAUGGAACUGGAAGUUAUUAAGGGGAUAAGUCAGGCACAGAAAGACAAACUUCACAUAUUCUCACUUGUUUGCGAGAGCUAACAAUUAUAACAUUUGAACUCAUGGAGAUAGAGACUAGAAGGGUGGCUACCAGAGGCUGAGAAGGGUAGAGGGGGAAAUGCUAGCGGGAAGUGGAGAUGGUUACUAGGUACAGAAAAAUAGCUAGAAAGCAUGAAUAAGGGCCAGACACAAUGGCUCAUGCCUGUAAUCCCAACAUUUUAGGAGGCCAAGGCAGGAGGAUUGCUUGAGCCCAGGAGUUUGAGACCACCCUGGGCAACAUAGUGAGACUUCAUCUCUACAAAAAAAAGGAAGAUAUAAUGGUGUGCACCUAUAGUCUCAGCUACUUGGGAAGCUGAGGUGGGAGGAUCAUUUGAGCCUGGAAGGCAGAAGUUACAGUGAGCUGAGUUUGUGCUGCUGCACUCCAGCCUGGGUGACAGAGCAAGACCCUGUCAACAAAGAAAGAGAGAAAGGGGGUAUGGGGAAUAGGAGGGAGGGAAGAAGGAAAGAAGCAAGAGACCUAGUAUUUGACAGCACUACAGGGUGACUAUAGUCAAUAAUAAUUUAAUUGUACAUUUAAAAAUAACUAAAAUAGUAAAAUUGGAUUGUUUGUAACACAAAGGAUAAAUGCUUGAGGGGAUGGAUACCCCAUUAACUCUGAUGGGAUUAUUGUACAUUGCAUGCCUGUAUCAAAAUAUCCAAUCUAUGUCAUAAAUAUAUAUACCUACUAUGUACCCACAAAAAUUAAAAAUUUAAAGCAAAACAAAGAUGAGGAACCUGAGAAGAGUUAAUAAGGGCACAGCAUCAUACAGCUGGCAGGUGGUGGAGCUGGGAUUUGCAUGCAUGUCUUUCUGAAUUGCUAUCUCUUGCUCUUUCUAGCAGGAUGCACUGUCCUUCCACUUUAGAAGCACGUCCACUUCCGCAUAGCCCUUCUCCUGUCUGAGAACCCUUGCUAAAAAGGCAAGCAGUUAGGUCUGGAUGUAGG